rnacentral:tRNA from 2 species
UGGGGUAUCGCCAAGCGGUAAGGCACCGGUUUUUGAUACCGGCAUUCGCAGGUUCGAAUCCUGCUACCCCAGCCA